rnacentral:lncRNA from 1 species
AACAGAUCCUUUAGCAUUUGUAGUUCUUUUUCUAAUUCAGCAAUCCUAUUAUUUUUAGUUUCUUCUAUUUUUCGUAUUUCUUCUGUAGUUUGUUGUUUUAUUUUUUCUAUUUCCUUUUUUCUAUCUAUUUCUUCAUUUUCAUUUUCUAUUUUUACCAUAGCUGUCAAUUUAUCUUCUAAUUUUAAUUCUUCUUUUUCUAACAUUAAAUAUAAAU